rfam:Elusimicrobia bacterium RIFOXYC2_FTLL_34_12 rifoxyc2_full_scaffold_1800, whole genome shotgun sequence.
GCCGCUAUCGUCUAGGUUGGUUUAGGACGCCGCCCUCUCAAGGCGGAGACCAUGGGUUCAAAUCCCAUUAGCGGCA